rnacentral:tRNA from 1 species
GCCUGGCUGGCUCAGUCUGUAGAGCAUGGGACUCUUGAUCUCAGGGUCGUUGAGUUCAAGCCUUUUGUUGGGCA